CGAUGAAACCCUUCGGGGUGGAUUAGUGGCGAACGGGUGAGUAACACGUGGGCAAUCUGCCCUUCACUCUGGGACAAGCCCUGGAAACGGGGUCUAAUACCGGAUACGACGCGCUCGGGCAUCCGAUGUGCGUGGAAAGCUCCGGCGGUGAAGGAUGAGCCCGCGGCCUAUCAGCUUGUUGGUGAGGUAACGGCUCACCAAGGCGACGACGGGUAGCCGGCCUGAGAGGGCGACCGGCCACACUGGGACUGAGACACGGCCCAGACUCCUACGGGAGGCAGCAGUGGGGAAUAUUGCACAAUGGGCGAAAGCCUGAUGCAGCGACGCCGCGUGAGGGAUGACGGCCUUCGGGUUGUAAACCUCUUUCAGCAGGGAAGAAGCGAAAGUGACGGUACCUGCAGAAGAAGCGCCGGCUAACUACGUGCCAGCAGCCGCGGUAAUACGUAGGGCGCGAGCGUUGUCCGGAAUUAUUGGGCGUAAAGAGCUCGUAGGCGGUCUGUCGCGUCGGAUGUGAAAGCCCGGGGCUUAACCCCGGGUCUGCAUUCGAUACGGGCAGACUAGAGUGUGGUAGGGGAGAUCGGAAUUCCUGGUGUAGCGGUGAAAUGCGCAGAUAUCAGGAGGAACACCGGUGGCGAAGGCGGAUCUCUGGGCCAUUACUGACGCUGAGGAGCGAAAGCGUGGGGAGCGAACAGGAUUAGAUACCCUGGUAGUCCACGCCGUAAACGGUGGGAACUAGGUGUUGGCGACAUUCCACGUCGUCGGUGCCGCAGCUAACGCAUUAAGUUCCCCGCC
rnacentral:rRNA from 1 species